rnacentral:rRNA from 1 species
UAGGGAAUCUUCCACAAUGGACGAAAGUCUGAUGGAGCAACACCGCGUGGUCGAUGAAGCCCCUUGGGGUGUAAAGACCUUUUCUGGGAGAAGAAUUAUGACGGUAUCCUAGGAAUAAGCACCGGCUAACUCUGUGCCAGCAGCCGCGGUAAUACAGAGGGUGCGAGCGUUAUCCGGAAUUAUUGGGCGUAAAGCGUCCGCAGGCGGUUUGUUAAGUAGGAUAUUAAAGCCAGCAGCUCAACUGUUGUAAAGUAUCCUAAACUGGCAGACUAGAGACUCAUAGAGGUAUGUGGAAUUCUGCAUGUAGGGGUAAAAUCCGUAGAUAUGCAGAGGAACACCAAAAGCGAAAGCAGCAUACUGGAUGAGUUCUGACGCUCAGGGACGAAAGCGUGGGGAGCAA